CUGGAACCAGAUCUUCACCUGGGUCUCAUUGAGCUGCAGGGAGGCGGCAAUUUCCACCCUUCGGGCGCGUGUCAAGUACUUGUUAAAGUGAAACUCCUUCUCCAGCUCCGUCAGCUGCUUAGUGGUGAAGUUGUCUAGGUGACGCGCAGUCGCCCCCCCAGGCAGCCUGGGCGGCAGCAGCAGCUGCAGCGGCCGCAGGGGCAGAAGCGGAGCGCUAAGGCGAAGGGGAGCAGAGGCUGCUUUCUGCGCGCGCCGACUCCGAUCGCCCUCCCCACCUCCCCGGGAGGCGGGGGCUGGAAGGCAUCCCCCGUCACCGCCCCCCUCUCCACCGCGCCCAGAAAGAUGAAUUGGCAAAAGACCUGUUUGCCUGGACCCAUCAACAGCUGGGAGACUAAUCAACCACACUGAAAAUGUUUUGGAAUUUGUGGGGGAGGGGGUUGGGAUGUAGAUAUUUGAAACAAACAUGUAUAAAUAAAUGAAUUGUUGAUAACUUA